rnacentral:rRNA from 1 species
GUGGGGAAUCUUGCGCAAUGGGCGAAAGCCUGACGCAGCCAUGCCGCGUGAAUGAUGAUGGUCUUAGGAUUGUAAAAUUCUUUCACCGGGGACGAUAAUGACGGUACCCGGAGAAGAAGCUCCGGCUAACUGCGUGCCAGCAGCCGCGGUAAUACGAAGGGGGCUAGCGUUGCUCGGAAUUACUGGGCGUAAAGGGCGCGUAGGCGGACAGCUUAGUCAGAGGUGAACGCCCAGGGCUCAACCUUGGAAUUGCCUUUGAUACUGGCUGUCUUGAGUUUGGGAGAGGUGAGUAGAACUCCGAGUGUAGAGGUGAAAUUCGUAGAUAUUCGGAAGAACACCAGUGGCGAAGGCGACUCACUGGGCCAAUACUGACGCUGAGGCGCGAAAGCGUGGGGAGCAAACAGGAUUAGAUACCCCUGUAGCC